rnacentral:tRNA from 1 species
AUAGAAAUAUUUCCUCAGGAAUAAAUUUCUGUUAGAAGCAGAAAAGAAUAUUUCUUUCUAUA